rnacentral:rRNA from 1 species
AGUCGAACGGCAGCGCGGGGCAACCUGGUGGCGAGUGGCGAACGGGUGAGUAAUAUAUCGGAACGUACCCUGGAGUGGGGGAUAACGUAGCGAAAGUUACGCUAAUACCGCAUACGAUCUAAGGAUGAAAGUGGGGGCUUCGCAAGAACCUCAUGCUCCUGGAGCGGCCGAUAUCUGAUUAGCUAGUUGGUGGGGUAAAGGCUCACCAAGGCUUCGAUCAGUAGCUGGUCUGAGAGGACGACCAGCCACACUGGAACUGAGACACGGUCCAGACUCCUACGGGAGGCAGCAGUGGGGAAUUUUGGACAAUGGGCGCAAGCCUGAUCCAGCAAUGCCGCGUGAGUGAAGAAGGCCUUCGGGUUGUAAAGCUCUUUUGUCAGGGAAGAAACGGUGAGGGCUAAUAUCCCUUGCUAAUGACGGUACCUGAAGAAUAAGCACCGGCUAACUACGUGCCAGCAGCCGCGGUAAUACGUAGGGUGCAAGCGUUAAUCGGAAUUACUGGGCGUAAAGCGUGCGCAGGCGGUUAUGUAAGUUUGUCGUGAAAGCCCCGGGCUCAACCUGGGAAUUGCGAUGAAGACUGCAAGGCUUGAAUCUGGCAGAGGGGGGUAGAAUUCCACGUGUAGCAGUGAAAUGCGUAGAGAUGUGGAGGAACACCGAUGGCGAAGGCAGCCCCCUGGGUCAAGAUUGACGCUCAUGCACGAAAGCGUGGGGAGCAAACAGGAUUAGAUACCCUGGUAGUCCACGCCCUAAACGAUGUCUACUAGUUGUCGGGUUUUAAUUAACUUGGUAACGCACCUAACGCGUGAAGUAAACCGCCUGGGGAGUACGGUCGCAAGAUUAAAACUCAAAGGAAUUGAC